rnacentral:lncRNA from 1 species
AUAUUUAGUCAAAUCUAUUAUAAAUAUAAUUACACAAUAUUGAAAAGUUAUAUACAAACUCAAACAAAAAAAUUAGAAUUACAAUAAAAAAUAAAGUAAAAUAAAAUAAAAAUACACAAUCUACCCGUAACGCCGGGAAAACUAGAAAUAUACAUAAUCAGUAAAUCAAUAAUAUCAGAUUUUAAAAAUGAUAAAAUGAGUUAUUUUAAUUUAUUUUUGAAUAUAACACAAGACUUUGUCGAGUGUAUAAAACAAUAAAUUUAAUACUCAAGGCUUGUAAACAUUUUAAACGACUUGUUAUAAAUUCACAAAUCCGUAACACCAGAUUUUUAAAUAGUUUUGAUAAGCCUUACUUAAAUAAUAUCAAAAUCUAAAUAACUCUUUAAAAAUGCACAAACCAGUAACAGCCCCUUUGCUUUAGUGAGAUAUCAUUUACGUGGCUGACACCACUUUGAAACUCAAAAAGGGCUGUUCGUUUCAUUGAUGCAGGUUCAUGCGACUGCGGCAAUUUUUUUCAAAAUUCUUGUUCGUUUGAUUGACGCCGAGACCUGCGUCUAACCGCCGCGUCUGACGCCGAGACCUGCGUUUGACGUCGUAAAAUUCUGCGGUCGCGACGUAAGUUAUGCGUCUGUUUAAGAUAUUUACAAUUAUAUCCUUAACCUAAUUACUUAUUUAAAAAAAACCUACAUCUAAUUGACGCAGCCGCAGCUCUUCUUCUCCCAUUGACGCAGAACUCUCUCCCAUCUCUCUCGAUCUCGAUCUCUUUCUCCAGUCCAUCUCUCUCGAUCUCGAGCCCUCUCUCCAUCACCAGCCCUCUAUCCACCUCAAGCUCUCUCUCUCCAUCUAUCUCUGUCACGAGCUCUCUCUGUGUGAGAUGACUUGAUGGUGCACAAUGCAAGGAUUCGAGCUCUGUAUCCAUCACACAAACCCAUCUCAAGCUCUCUCUUGAUCUCUGACACUAACCCAUCUUCGAGUUCUCUCUCUCUCAAUCUCCGACCUCGAGCUCUCUCUCUUUGAGGUAAUUAUCUCAUCCUUUUGAAAACUUUGGAUCAGUUCGUUAAGAUUUGGGUUAGUAUUUGACUUGAGAGUUUCAAAUUGUUGCAGUUUCCCUGGAAAAGCUGUUUGAGUGUCAAUCGGUGACUCUGCUGCUCCUGCACAAGCUGAGGUGCAUUUACCUGAAAGCUUGAUUCUUUCUUUGCUCUGUCACGAGCUCUCUCUCACGAGCUCUCUCUCACGAGCUCUCUCUCUCUCGAGCUCAGGCGCUCUCUCCAUCUCUCUCGAUCUCAGGCGCUCUCUCCAUCACGAGCUCUCCAACACAAACUCAUCUCAAGCUCUCUCUCUCUCCAUCCCUAACACAUCUCUCUGUUCUCCGACAAACCCAUCUCGAGUUCUCUCUCUUUGACGUAAUAGUCACAUUCUCUGUUGGAUACUGAUUGUGAUGGCCGUCUCUGUUCUAAAGCAUUGAUGGUAUGUUGCAGAUUCUUCAAGUGUGAGAUGAGUUGAGGUGCAAUGCGAGGAUUGUUCUGAGUCGAUCUCGAGCCCUCUCUCCAUCACCAGCCCUCUAUCCACCUCAAGCUCUCUCUCUCCAUCUAUCUCUGUCACGAGCUCUCUCUGUGUGAGAUGACUUGAUGGUGCACAAUGCAAGGAUUCGAGCUCUGUAUCCAUCACACAAACCCAUCUCAAGCUCUCUCUUGAUCUCUGACACUAACCCAUCUUCGAGUUCUCUCUCUCUCAAUCUCCGA